rnacentral:rRNA from 1 species
AUUGAACGCUGGCGGCAGGCCUAACACAUGCAAGUCGAACGCGUCGCGGACGGGUGUGUAAUGUCUGGGAAACUCCCUGAUGGAGGGGGAUAACCACUGGAAACGGUAGCUAAUACCGCAUACCCUCGGAUGUGCCCAGAUGGGAUUAGCUAGGAGGUGGGGUAAAGGCUCACCUAGGCGACGAUCCCUAGCUGGUCUGAGAGGAUGAACAGCCACACUGGAACUGAGACACGGUCCAGACUCCUACGGGAGGCAGCAGUGGGGAAUAUUGCACAAUGGGCGCAAGCCUGAUGCAGCCAUGCCGCGUGUAUGAAGAAGGCCCUAGGGUUGUAAAGUACUUUCAGCGGGGAGGCGUUACCCACAGAAGAAGCACCGGCUAACUCCGUGCCAGUAGCCGCGGUAAUAC